CCUACGGGGGGCUGCAGUAGGGAAUUUUUCACAAUGGGCGAAAGCCUGAUGGAGUAAUGCCGCGUGAAUGAUGAAGGUCUUAUAGAUUGUAAAAUUCUUUUAUUUGGGAAGAAAAACUAAAGUAGGAAAUGACUUUAGUCUGACUGUACCAUUUGAAUAAGUAUCGGCUAACUAUGUGCCAGCAGCCGCGGUAAUACGGAGGGUGCGAGCGUUAAUCGGAAUUACUGGGCGUAAAGCGCUCGUAGGCGGUAUGUCAAGUCAAGGGUGAAAUCCCCGCGCUCAACGUGGGAACUGCCUUUGAAACUGGCAAACUGGAGUGUGUGAGAGGAUAGUGGAAUUCCAGGUGUAGGAGUGAAAUCCGUAGAUAUCUGGAGGAACAUCAGUGGCGAAGGCGACUAUCUGGCACAUAACUGACGCUGAGGAGCGAAAGCGUGGGUAGCAAACAGGAUUAGAUACCCGUGUAGUC
rnacentral:rRNA from 1 species